rnacentral:tRNA from 1 species
GGGGAUUUAGCUCAGUGGUAGAGCGGUUGCCUAGCAAGCACAAGGCCCUGGGUUCGGUCCCCAGCUCUG